AUUGAACGCUGGCGGCAGGCCUAACACAUGCAAGUCGAGCGGAUGAAGGGAGCUUGCUCCUGGAUUCAGCGGCGGACGGGUGAGUAAUGCCUAGGAAUCUGCCUGGUAGUGGGGGAUAACGUCCGGAAACGGGCGCUAAUACCUCAUACGUCCUGAGGGAGAAAGUGGGGGAUCCUCGGACCUCACGCUAUCAGAUGAGCCUAGGUCGGAUUAGCUAGUUGGUGGGGUAAAGGCCUACCAAGGCGACGAUCCGUAACUGGUCUGAGAGGAUGAUCAGUCACACUGGAACUGAGACACGGUCCCGACUCCUACGGGAGGCAGCAGUGGGGAAUAUUGGACGAUGGGCGAAAGCCUGAUCCAGCAAUGCCGCGUGUGUGAAGAAGGUCUUCGGAUUGUAAAGCACUUUAAGUUGGGAGGAAGAGCAGUAAGUUAAUACCUGGCUGUUUUGACGUUACCAACAGAAUAAGCACCGGCUAACUUCGUG
rnacentral:rRNA from 1 species